rnacentral:ncRNA from 2 species
UGGAGCACAGGCGAUGGAGCUCGCCUUGAACCGCUUCGGCUGAUGGCUCCUGCACCGGA